rnacentral:rRNA from 1 species
UGCAGUCGAACGCGAAAGUUCCCUUCGGGGAGCGAGUAGAGUGGCGCACGGCCNGUUUUAACACGAUAGGUAAUUUGCCUUUGGGUGGGGAAUACCAACCGGAAACGGUUGUUAAUACCGCAUAAUGCAGCGGCAUCACAUGAUGACAGUUGUUAAAGCGGGGGAUUGGAGCAAUCCGACCUCGCGCCUGAAGAGAAGCCUGCGGCAGAUUAGGUAGUUGGUGAGGUAAUGGCUCACCAAGCCUGCGAUCUGUAACCGGCCUGAGAGGGCGGUCGGUCACACUGACACUGACAUACGGGUCAGACUCCUACGGGAGGCAGCAGUCGGGAAUUUUGGGCAAUGGGCGAAAGCCUGACCCAGCAACGCCGCGUGAAGGAUGAAAUUUUUCGGAAUGUAAACUUCGCAAGAAUGGGAAGAAUAAGUAGGGGACAAUACCCCCUAUGAUGACGGUACCAUUUGUAAGCUCCGGCUAACUUCGUGCCAGCAGCCGCGGUAAUACGAGGGGAGCAAGCGUUGUUCGGAUUUACUGGGCGUAAAGGGCGCGUAGGCGGCUCUACAAGUCACUUGUGAAAUCUCCGGGCUUAACUCGGAACGGUCCAAGUGAUACUGUCGAGCUAGAGUGCAGAAGGGGCAAUUGGAAAUUCUCCGGUGUAGCGGUGAAAUGCGUAGAUAUCGAGAGGAACACCAGAGGCGAAAGGCGGAUUGCUGGGCUGACCCUGACNCUGAGGCNCGAAAGCUAGGGGAGCGAACGGGUAUUAGAU